rnacentral:rRNA from 1 species
CCUACGGGAGGCAGCAGUGGGGGAUAUUGGACAAUGGGGGAAACCCUGAUCCAGCGACGCCGCGUGAGCGAAGAAGUAUUUCGGUAUGUAAAGCUCUAUCAGCAGGGAAGAAAGAAAUGACGGUACCUGAGUAAGAAGCCCCGGCUAACUACGUGCCAGCAGCCGCGGUAAUACGUAGGGGGCAAGCGUUAUCCGGAAUUACUGGGUGUAAAGGGAGCGUAGACGGUAAUGCAAGUCUGGAGUGAAAGGCGGGGGCCCACCCCCCGGAUUGCUCUGGAAACUGUGUAACUGGAGUGCAGGAGAGGCAGGCGGAAUUCCUAGUGUAGCGGUGAAAGGCGUAGAUAUUAGGAGGAA